rnacentral:lncRNA from 1 species
CCGAUGGCACUCGUGGUAGAUGGACACGUUCCGUCCGUCCUGAGCUGUCUGGGGAGGCAGCCGCCGGGCGGGGGUAGUCAUCGGGCCUCCGUGAGGCUGGUGUGACCGAAGACACGAGUUAAACGGAACGAAAAUUAGUGUAAGCGCGUGACCACAGGGGGUGGCUGGCCGCCACGAAGAAGCCCAGGUCUGACGGGAAAUGCUUAAAACUUAUAUGAUCCACAAAGGCAGCAACUCGAAAAAACAAACUCCCACAAAAUGAGAGGACAAACAGGAAGGGAGGGAAACAGAGGACCCACGGGAGAAAUUCCUGGAAGAGGCAAUGGAGGUGGAGGGCAGAGAGCAGCCACCGGGGAACCGUAAGCUACGUAGCAAAGUGCGCGUGUUUGGGGUCUCCCCGACGGCGCCCAGGGAGCCAGGAGCCCCAGUGCUGCCAGGGGCGCCUCCGUUACCGAAAGAAAGCCGUCAUAGCACGUCUGUGAGCGCCAACUGCGGCCGUGCUGCCUGGAUUCUGAGCCGGCUCUGUCGUGUGCUGGCCACGUGGCCCUGAUCUUAACCCUUCGGAACCUCCGUUUCCUCAUCUGUCGACAGCCAAGUUCUGACUGAUGAAAAACAGAAUCUCAUCAUGCCUGGGACUGCAGUCUGGCUGGUCAUUCGUGUUUCUGGUAAGUCCUGGCUUGCGCCCAGCCCUCUGAGGGUUGGCGUCCUGUGUGUGAGACUCCUGCACCAUCAGGGCCGUCCCCCGGUCUGGGGCUCGGACCCCACCCCGCCCCUGCUAGCCCAUCACCUGUGCUGUGUCUUCAACUUCUGUCCAUGCAUUGGCUCCUGGCCGCAAUCAGUAUGACCAAUUAACACGUUCGAUGGGGUCCUGGAGCAAACGGUCAAGAAAGAAUUCUCGAGGCGUCUUUGGCGCAAAAAAGGUGGUUUUAGGAAAGCACAGGACAGGGCCCGGGGGCAGGGAGAGCCGCGCCGGGGUUGUGACGCGUGACUGCUUCUAUACUUUUAAGUUAGUGGGCGUCAGGGACGGCGUGAGUCUCUAAGGAAUUUGGAAGCAAGGCUUUCGGGCCGUUGAGGGGCGAGCUGCUGUUGAGAUCAGGUUACUUGCAGUCUCUAAGGAAAGGACAACGCGAAGGGAGUAGGGCAGCCACGAGUUCCUGGAGCAAGGUCCCGCUCUGCGUGUCUGCGGGGGGGGGGGGGGGGGUCUGUCGGUGGCUGGGAGCGAGCGGUCGGGAG